GGAAGUAAAAGUCGUAACAAGGUCUCCGUAGGUGAACCUGCGGAGGGAUCAUUACACAAAUAUGAAGGCGGGCUGGAAUCUCUCGGGGUUACAGCCUUGCUGAAUUAUUCACCCUUGUCUUUUGCGUACUUCUUGUUUCCUUGGUGGGUUCGCCCACCACUAGGACAAACAUAAACCUUUUGUAAUUGCAAUCAGCGUCAGUAACAAAUUAAUAAUUACAACUUUCAACAACGGAUCUCUUGGUUCUGGCAUCGAUGAAGAACGCAGCGAAAUGCGAUAAGUAGUGUGAAUUGCAGAUUCAGUGAAUCAUCGAAUCUUUGAACGCACAUUGCGCCCUUUGGUAUUCCAAAGGGCAUGCCUGUUCGAGCGUCAUUUGUACCCUCAAGCUUUGCUUGGUGUUGGGCGUCUUGUCUCUAGCUUUGCUGGAGACUCGCCUUAAAGUAAUUGGCAGCCGGCCUACUGGUUUCGGAGCGCAGCACAAGUCGCACUCUCUAUCAGCAAAGGUCUAGCAUCCAUUAAGCCUUUUUUCAACUUUUGACCUCGGAUCAGGUAGGGAUACCCGCUGAACUUAAGCAUAUCAAUAAGCGGAGGAAUCUUG
rnacentral:rRNA from 1 species